GAGGGCGUUCACGUGCUUGCCACAUGUGUGCAAAGAAACCUAGCAUGUGCUACUAUAUAAGUGAUAUGCAGCUCCAUUUGGUAAUUUCUCAACCCUAGCAGCCGCUCCACCUCUUCUCUCUCUCUCUGAUUACCCUAGCAACACCACUUCAAACCCAAACGCCUCUACCCUAAUUUCUCUCUCGAAUACUCGAGAGUUCUCUGCUUAUAAACACCUCAAGGCUUUCAUUUCAAUUAGCAAAACCAUAUAUAUAACCUCUGCCUUCAAACCUCAGAAUCGUCUUCGUUUUCAAACCCAGGCCAUACUCUUGCUCCAGGCCAAGGUCAAAACUGUGAUUACAUAUCAUGGUGCUCCAAAAAGGUUUCCGAUCUGAGAUGAUGGUGAUGAAAUGAUGGGACCGGAUCUCAUAUCGAUGAACAAAAGGAAGGAAAAGGUCUACAAUCUCUUGAAUCCACAAAGAAAAAGGGGUUAGCGAUCAUUGAAGGCAGAAAGAAGUCCCGAACCCACAUAUAGACCAUCCUGAUGAAUUUAUUUGUGGAGCAGCAAAGCUUUCCGGGGAAGAUGCAAUUGGCCAGAAUUGGGCCUCGAUUCAAGAGAUACUGGAAUGCGACUGGUGGAGAAUACAGAGAAGAUGGUAGAAUCUUAUCUUCCAGCAGAUAAGGGCAGUUUUUGGUUUUGGCAUUUAAGAUAUUUAAGUAGGGUUUCUCUUGCAGUUGUAGAAUUUGUUUAUUUUGGAAGCAUGAAUUAAAUGUUUGGGAUUAACUUACAAUUCUUCCUAUAAAAACCAAUCAAAACCAUUUUCUGAAUCUAAUGUUACAAUGUUGUGCACUGUCAUUGAUAAGCAGUUUUUCAUUAUGAUGAAUUUUCAGUCUUUCUAAAAAUAUCAAUAACUAAAAUUCAUGUGGCAUUUAGUGUGAAUUUUGUCGGAUUUGUCUCAUUGCAUCGGAUUGAUUUAUUGUACUGUUACCAUGCCUGUCAAUUUUUCCUUUUUAAUCCUAACUGUUUUCGCUUUCAAGGAAAAGAGGUUUGUUCUUUGAUGCCUUUGCAGGAGAGCUGUGGUUUUGACAAUUUGG